GCCAUUCUGUGGAGUGGUGUGGCCCCUUCCUUUCCUUGUUUUCUUAUCUUUCCAGAACAACCGAAAUGAAGAAGGAAACCUCCAAGCCAUUGUGGAGAAGUGAUGUCACAACAGGAAGAUGUGCAAACCCGGCACGCAAAUAUUCCCACCUUAAGGUCGUUAACACGUAGAAGAACUGCCUAUCUCAAAAAUAGGUAGAAGGGCGGGACGAUGGUGCGAGCCUACCCACUCUGUCAUCGGUGGGCGUCGGUCGUGCUAACUGGUAUAGCAUGGCCUAUGGGGCUCUGCCUGCACAAAUCAUGUUUUCUUUCUCUUUCACUUUUUUGUGAAUUGCUAACAACAAUGCCAUUAAAGUAAAUCCAAUACAAGAAUGCAGUGCAGAACCUCUUAACGCCUUUUUCGGUAAACGUAUUUCCCAGCGUGGGGUUUAUAGGGAUGUUUGUGUAAACAACGCAGAUUGGCCAUGGCUAGGGGGUGCGUUGAUAUUA